CACCUCUUAUUGCAGGGUCACAAACGGAGAUGAAUCUAUUUCAUUUUCACCGGAAGGAAAGACCCCAGACAGAGCGUAAAAAUUACUGAUUUGAAGAAUCGUCAAGAACCUGUCAGCUGUCACUCGCCGAUGCCAUGAUGCCAUAUGGCAUUGGUAUGUAUCUUCGUCAAAGCACAAACUGAUGCAAGUAGCACUUUGUGUUAACAGAAUGGGGAUUACUUUAAAGGA
rnacentral:SRP_RNA from 1 species